GCUGUGGCUCAGUGGCAAAGCAACUGCUUUUCAUGCAGAAGGUCCCAGGUUCAAUCCCCAGCAUCUCCA